rnacentral:lncRNA from 1 species
CACUAUCAGAGUGUGUGUUUCCGUGAGUUUGUGUUGUUUGCCUCAGUGUCAGCUGGCACUCACUCGCUCAAAUACACACACACACACACACACCUGCAGCUUUGCGAUGGUGGAAGGGAAACCGUAUCGAUACGGACUGAUCUCUGCUGGCGUGUGUGCGAUUGCUCUCGGCCUCUUCAUCAUGGUGAGGGAGCGACCACACAUCUUCAUCACUGUUUGUGUCCUCGGAGUCUUCAUGGUGUGUGUGGGGAGUGUGUGGAGCAUCUGCCAGUGUUACCCAAAGGUAAAGUGUGUAUGUGUGUGUGAGAAAGUGUGUUGGUGAUAGAGACAGAAAGGUAUCAGAGGUGUAAUGGAGUCAGUUUAUUUGUAGGUCGUUUUGGCUCCUGAGACUGAGGAGGACAGUCUGAAGGACGGGUUGUGUACAGCUGGAGACGACAGGUACCACACAUACACACACACACACACACAGUCUUCAUAUCGGUCUGUGUUAGUGCCC